rnacentral:rRNA from 1 species
UACGUAGGGUGCAAGCGUUAAUCGGAAUUACUGGGCGUAAAGCGUGCGCAGGCGGUUGUGCAAGACAGAUGUGAAAUCCCCGGGCUCAACCUGGGAACUGCAUUUGUGACUGUACGGCUGGAGUGCGGCAGAGGGGGAUGGAAUUCCGCGUGUAGCAGUGAAAUGCGUAGAUAUGCGGAGGAACACCGAUGGCGAAGGCAAUCCCCUGGGCCUGCACUGACGCUGAGGCACGAAAGCGUGGGGAGCAAACAGG